AAGAUCAAAGAAAUAAUAACACGAUUGCAUUUAAUAUAAUUAUUCAAUUAUGGAUGCUCUUCGCGCGUUCAUUGUAACGCCAUCUGUGAUAGCGUUAUAUGAAGUAAUAUUUGCAGCAUUUGCAGUCGCAAUUAACCACAUCAUGAAAAUAUAAAUAGAUGUUGUAUGGAGCAAUUAUUACUAGUGACUCGUAUUCUAACCAAACAAUUGACGACAUUCCGAGAACGUCAACUUUCUCUCGUAAUCAUAAAUAAUUGCAACGCAACGUUCAUACAAAGAGUAUUUCCGAUAAUUAUCGCCAAUGUUUCCCAGUGUUUCUUAUGUUUAUUAUCCAAAGAAUUCAUAAUUUCUCAACAAUAUCAGUCCUUCUACUUUAUCUUUGAACAUCUAUAAUUUAAUACUCUUAUGCAAAUAGUAAGUUUUCUCAAUGGUAAUUAAUUUUAA